ACUAAUUCUAGCCCAAACAACUGUACAUCUAAUUACACUCUACUAUAAAAUAAAACAUUCAUCAUAAAAGUAUUGGAGAAAGAAAUUAGCACUAGGAGCAAUAGAAAAAGUACCGUAAGGGAAAGAUGAAAGAUCUAAUUAUAAGUAAAAAUAAGCAAAGAUUAAACCUUGUACCUUUUGCAUAAUGAAUUAACUAGAAAUAAGCUAACUAAAAGAAUUAAAGCUAGAAACCCCGAAACCAAACGAGCUACCUAAAAACAAUCUUGCGAAUCAACCCGUCUAUGUAGCAAAAUAGUGGGAAGAUUUUUAGGUAGAGGUGAAAAGCCUAACGAGCUUGGUGAUAGCUGGUUACCCAAAAAAUGAAUUUUAGUUCAACUUUAAAUUUACCUCAAGAACUUUAAAUCCAAACGUAAACUUAAAUUAUAGCCAAAAGAGGGACAGCUCUUUAGGAACGGAGAAAACCUUAAAUAGUGAAUAAAUAACAACUAUAUGAAUCCCCAUAUAACCAUUGUAGGCCUAAAAGCAGCCAUCAACAAAGAAAGCGUUCAAGCUCAACAUAAAAACCAAAUUAUCCUUAAAUUCUACAUAACUUCCUAAACUACAAAUUGGGUUAUUCUAUAACUUUAUAGAAGAAAUACUGUUGAUAUGAGUAACAAGAAUAAGUUCUCCAAGCACAAGCGUAUAACAACCCGGAUAACCAUUGUUAGUUAUAUACAAGUCGCAGACAACAAUCACAAAAUAAAUUUAUCUAAAACUAAUUUGUUAACCCAACACAGGAGUGCUUUGAGGAAAGAUUAACAAAAAUAAAAGGAACUCGGCAAACCAGAACCCCGCCUGUUUACCAAAAACAUCACCUCUAGCAUUUCAAGUAUUAGAGGCACUGCCUGCCCAGUGACUAAAGUUAAACGGCCGCGGUAUCCUGACCGUGCAAAGGUAGCAUAAUCACUUGUUCCUUAAUUAGGGACUUGCAUGAAUGGCUAAACGAGGGUUCAACUGUCUCUUAUUUUUAAUCAGUGAAAUUGACCUUCCAGUGAAGAGGCUGGAAUAACUUAAUAAGACGAGAAGACCCUAUGGAGCUUAAAUUAACAAACUUAUCUAUAUUAUAUCUCACCUAAUGGAGUAAAAACAAUACUAUAAGUUUAAAAUUUUGGUUGGGGUGACCUCGGAGAACAAAAAAUCCUCCGAACGAUUAUAACAUAGACUCACAAGUCAAAGUAACUAAAAUUCCAAUUGACCCAAAACAAUUUGAUCAACGGACCAAGUUACCCUAGGGAUAACAGCGCAAUCCCAUUUAAGAGUUCAUAUCGACAAUGGGGUUUACGACCUCGAUGUUGGAUCAGGACAUCCCAAUGGUGCAGAAGCUAUUAAUGGUUCGUUUGUUCAACGAUUAAAGUCCUACGUGAUCUGAGUUCAGACCGGAGAAAUCCAGGUCGGUUUCUAUCUAUUAACAAUUUCUCCCAGUACGAAAGGAUAAGAGAAAUAGAGCCCCCUUCACAAAAGCGCUCUCAACCAAAUUUAUGAAGAUAAUCUAAAUAAUUUAUCUAUGUAAAAAUUACACCUAGACCAGGUU
rnacentral:rRNA from 1 species